CCUACGGGUGGCAGCAGUGGGGAAUAUUGGGCAAUGGAGGCAACUCUGACCCAGCAACGCUGCGUGAAUGAUGAAGGUCUUCGGAUUGUAAAGUUCUUUUCUAAGGGAAGAAGAAAGUGACGGUACCUGACCAAGAAGCCCCGGCUAACUACGUGCCAGCAGCCGCGGUAAUACGUAGGGGGCAAGCGUUAUCCGGAAUUACUGGGUGUAAAGGGAGCGUAGACGGUUAAGUAAGUCUGGAGUGAAAGGCCGGGGCCCAACCCCGGGACUGCUCUGGAAACUAUUGAACUUGAGUGCAGGGGAGGUAAGCGGAAUUCCUAGUGUAGCGGUGAAAUGCGUAGAUAUUAGGAGGAACACCAGUGGCGAAGGCGGCUUACUGGACUGUAACUGACGUUGAGGCUCGAAAGCGUGGGGAGCAAACAGGAUUAGAUACCCUGGUAGUC
rnacentral:rRNA from 1 species